AUUGAACGCUGGCGGCAGGCCUAACACAUGCAAGUCGAGCGAGCGGCGGACGGGUGAGUAAUGUAUGGGGACUGCCCGAUAGAGGGGGAUAACUACUGGAAACGGUAGCUAAUACCGCAUAGUAUCGGAUAACCCAUAUGGGAUUAGCUAGUAGGUGAGGUAAUGGCUCACCUAGGCGACGAUCCCUAGCUGGUCUGAGAGGAUGAUCAGCCCCACUGGUACUGAGACACGGCCCAGCCUCCUCCGGCGGCAGCAGUCGUGAGUAUUGCACGAUGGGCACAAGCCUCAUGCAGCCAUGCCGCGUGUCUGAAGCAGGCCCCCGGCUUGUAAAGUACUUUCAGUCGGGAGGCGUUACCGACUGAAGAUGCACCGGCUAGCUCCGUGCCAGCAGCCGCGGUAAUAC
rnacentral:rRNA from 1 species